AGAACAUGUUGUGGAUAAUUGCAAAGUAAUCCCUUGUAACAUUCCCACGCUUCAUAUAAAUAUUCCCCAUCUGGUUGUUGGAAAUUUUGGAUGUUCUUCUUUAGUUU